rnacentral:snRNA from 1 species
GGAUAUGAUGAAAUGGCAA